UACGUAGGGUGCGAGCGUUGUCCGGAAUUAUUGGGCGUAAAGAGCUCGUAGGCGGCCUGUUGCGUCCGCUGUGAAAGCCCGGGGCUUAACCCCCGGGUCUGCAGUGGAUACGGGCAGGCUAGAGGUAGGUAGGGGAGAAUGGAAUUCCAGGUGUAGCGGUGAAAUGCGUAGAUAUCUGGAGGAACAUCAGUGGCGAAGGCGGCUUCCUGGUCCAACACUGACACUGAGGUGCGAAAGCGUGGGGAGCAAACAGG
rnacentral:rRNA from 1 species